rnacentral:rRNA from 1 species
CGUAGGGGGCUAGCGUUGUCCGGAAUCAUUGGGCGUGAAGCGCGUGUAGGCGGCCCGGUAAGUCCGCUGUGAAAGUCGGGGGCUCAACCCUCGAAAGCCGGUGGAUACUGUCGGGCUCGAGUACGGAAGAGGCGAGUGGAAUUCCUGGUGUAGCGGUGAAAUGCGCAGAUAUCAGGAGGAACACCAAUUGCGAAGGCAGCUCGCUGGGACGUCACUGACGCUGAGACGCGAAAGCGUGGGGAGCAAACAGGAUUAGAUACCCUGGUAGUCCACGCUGUAAACGAUGGGCACUAGGUGUGGGGGGUGUCGACUCCCUCCGUGCCGAAGCUAACGCAUUAAGUGCCCCGCCUGGGGAGUACGGCCGCAAGGCUA